GAACAGUCUGCAAGGGUCCAAACGUUUGAUAACUAACAACUUUUUAGCCUCCAAAAGCCUGAUAUCUGACUUUCCUACACUUUCCUGUUUGACAGGGGGAUUUAGGACCUUGUGGGAAACCUGGUCCUAAAGGGCCACCAGGAGAGAGGGGACCUCAGGGGGGGAAAGGACUACAAGGACCACCUGGACCAGUCGGUAAAGAGGGGGAUGUUGGACUUCCCGGUGAAGCUGGAGAUCCUGGACCCAAGGGGGAGAAGGGUGAGCUGGGACCUCUUGGUUUGUCUGGUCGAGAGGGUCCCUGGGGACCCCUCGGAGAAAAUGGUGACAGGGGUCCAAAGGGGGAGAAGGGCAACUUGGGACUGAUGGGUGAACCAGGACUGAUGGGUGAACUAGGCCCUGUGGGUCUGCCUGGGUUACUGGUGAGUUGA
rnacentral:lncRNA from 1 species